CGGUGCCGGACGCCGGACCCGGGCCCGCCCCCUGCUCGGGCCGGGCGGCUGGGACCCCGGGCUCUUGCCCGCAGGAUCCGCCAGGUUCCAGCAUGGUGGUGUCGCCGGCCCCGUCCACGCCCGGCCUGCGGGGUCGACGGCAACAACAGCUCCCCCUGUCGUGACCCGCGCCCCGCCCCGCCCCUUCACCCGGGACGGCGCGGGACGCCAGGCUGACCCGAACUCGAGGGAACAGAGACUGAGGCCGAGGGAACAGAGACUGAGGCCUAGGGAAGCGGAGUGGACUGCGGGUCACCCAGGGGAGCGGUCAGACCCAGGACGAGCACUAGCCCUACCUUCCGUCUCGCGUGGAAAUGAGCCAUCUGAUGGCAUCAAAAGCAAAAACCAGAAACUGAGCCAAACCGAGCUCCACCACGCCCACCGUCCUCCCAGGCCCCAGCAGAGGGGUGGCCCUGACUCCCGGCCCAGCCAGGCCACCAGGGUCUCACCUGUCGGAAGCUCCUGGAGCAGGUGAAAGCUCCACGAUUCAGCUUGAUUUUCCUGGGCUUUAUCCACAUGUCCUCAGUGCCUAUCGAACAUGUCAUCCAGCUGGCGUGAACUUGGAUCACGACACGAGUGGCUCCGUAGGACGCGGAGGCAGUGUUCAGUGCACCCCAUCUUCGGGAUGCAGCCUGGGUACAUGAGCCCACAGGGACUAUGCAGUCUGGACGCAGGUUUCCCCCACCGCCUUGUUGCCCAAGCACACCCGAGUCCCCGUGUGGCAGCCCGGACCUCUGACCCCGCCCCUGCCUGUGCCCAGGGGCUCGUCCACCUUGCAAGCUGCACUCCAGCCACCAACCCGGG
ensembl:lncRNA